rnacentral:rRNA from 1 species
CUUUGGGAUAACCCUCGGAAACGGGGGCUAAUACCGGAUAUGACCUCCUGUCGCAUGGUGGGGGGUGGAAGUUUUUCGGCCUGGGAUGGGCUCGCGGCCUAUCAGCUUGUUGGUGGGGUGAUGGCCUACCAAGGCGACGACGGGUAGCCGGCCUGAGAGGGCGACCGGCCACACUGGGACUGAGACACGGCCCAGACUCCUACGGGAGGCAGCAGUGGGGAAUAUUGCACAAUGGGCGGAAGCCUGGUGCAGCGACGCCGCGUGAGGGAUGACGGCCUUCGGGUUGUAAACCUCUUUCAGCAGGGACGAAGCGCGAGUGACGGUACCUGCAGAAGAAGCACCGGCCAACUACGUGCCAGCAGCCGCGGUAAGACGUAGGGCGCGAGCGUUGUCCGGAUUUAUUGGGCGUAAAGAGCUCGUAGGCGGCUUGUCGCGUCGACCGUGAAAACUUGGGGCUCAACCCCAGGCCUGCGGUCGAUACGGGCAGGCUAGAGUUCGGUAGGGGUGACUGGAAUUCCUGGUGUAGCGGCGAAAUGCGCAGAUAUCAGGAGGAACACCGGUGGCGAAGGCGGGUCUCUGGGCCGAUACUGACGCUGAGGAGCGAAAGCGUGGGGAGCGAACAGGAUUAGAUACCCUGGUAGUCCACGCUGUAAACGUUGGGCGC